rnacentral:tRNA from 1 species
AAGUUUAGGUUCACCAAACCGAGAGCCUUCAAAGCCCUAAACAGAACCAACGUUCUAACUUCUG